rnacentral:rRNA from 1 species
CCUACGGGUGGCAGCAGUGAGGAAUAUUGGUCAAUGGACGAAAGUCUGAACCAGCCAAGUAGCGUGCAGGAUGACGGCCCUACGGGUUGUAAACUGCUUUUAUACGGGAAUAACGCGCCUUACGUGUAGGUCUUUGCAUGUACCGUAUGAAUAAGGACGGGCUAAUUCCGUGCCAGCAGCCGCGGUAAUACGGAAGGUCCGGGCGUUAUCCGGAUUUAUUGGGUUUAAAGGGAGCGUAGGCCGCAUGUCAAGCGUGCUGUGAAAUGUCCGGGCUCAACCCGGGACUUGCAGCGCGAACUGGCGUGCUUGAGUCCGCGGAAAGCAGGCGGAAUUCGUCGUGUAGCGGUGAAAUGCUUAGAUAUGACGAAGAACCCCGAUUGCGAAGGCAGCUUGCUGCAGCGGAACUGACGCUGAUGCUCGAAAGCGCGGGUAUCGAACAGGAUUAGAUACCCGAGUAGUC